UACGUAGGGUGCGAGCGUUACUCGGAAUUACUGGGCGUAAAGCGUGCGCAGGCGGUUCGUUAAGUCAGAUGUGAAAGCCCCGGGCUCAACCUGGGAACUGCAUUUGAAACUGGCGGGCUUGAGUGUGGCAGAGGGGGGUGGAAUUCCGCGUGUAGCAGUGAAAUGCGUAGAGAUGUGGAGGAACACCGAUGGCGAAGGCAGCCCCCUGGGUCGACACUGACGCUCAUGCACGAAAGCGUGGGGAGCAAACAGG
rnacentral:rRNA from 1 species